AACGAACGCUGGCGGCGUGCCUAACACAUGCAAGUCGUGCGAGAAAGUUUCCUUCGGGGAGCGAGUAAAGCGGCGCACGGGUGAGUAACACGUAGGUAACCUACCUUUCAGUCCGGAAUAACCAGCUGAAAAGCUGGCUAAUGCCGGGUAAGACCACGACCUCUACGGGGGUCGCGGCCAAAAGGCGGCCUCUUCAUGAAAGCUGAUGCUGAGAGAUGGGCCUGCGCACCAUUAGCUAGUUGGUGAGGUAAUAGCUCACCAAGGCUUCGAUCAGUAGCCGU
rnacentral:rRNA from 1 species